CUACGGGCGGCUGCAGUCUAGAAAUUUGCACAAUCGACGAAAGUUGGAUGCAGUGACGCCACGUGGAGGAUGAAGCCCCUCGGGGUGUAAACUCCUGUCAGGAGGGAAGAAGGCGCAUAUAUUAAUACCAUUUGUUGCUUGACGGUACCUCCAGAGGAAGCCCCGGCUAACUACGUGCCAGCAGCCGCGGUAAUACGUAGGGAGCGAGCGUUGUUCGGAUUUACUGGGCGUAAAGAGCACGUAGGCGGGUAUGUAAGUCGGUUGUGAAAUCCUCUGGCUCAACCAGAGAAUUGCAGCCGAAACUGUAUACCUUGAGUCUAGCAGAGGGAAUCGGAAUCCUAGGUGUAGCGGUGAAAUGCGUAGAUAUCUAGGAGAACACCAGUGGCGAAGGCGGAUUCCUGGGCUAGUACUGACGCUGAGGUGCGAAAGCUGGGGGAGCGAACAGGAUUAGAUACCCCCGUAGUC
rnacentral:rRNA from 1 species